rnacentral:tRNA from 1 species
AGGCACGUAGCUCAGGGGGAGAGCGCUACCUUGACACGGUAGAGGUCGGCGGUUCGAAACCGCCCGUGCCUACCA